UACGAAGGGGGCUAGCGUUGCUCGGAAUCACUGGGCGUAAAGCGCACGUAGGCGGAUUGCUAAGUCAGGGGUGAAAUCCUGGAGCUCAACUCCAGAACUGCCCUUGAUACUGGCGGUCUCGAGUCCGGGAGAGGUGAGUGGAACUGCGAGUGUAGAGGUGAAAUUCGUAGAUAUUCGCAAGAACACCAGUGGCGAAGGCGGCUCACUGGCCCGGUACUGACGCUGAGGUGCGAAAGCGUGGGAGACCAACAG
rnacentral:rRNA from 1 species